rnacentral:rRNA from 1 species
CUCAGAAACUUAAAGGAAUUGGACGGGGAGCACUACAACGGGUGGAGCCUGCGGUUUAAUUGGAUUCAACGCCGGAAAUCUCACCGGGGCGACAGCAAUAUGAAGGUCAGGCUGAAGACCUUACCCGAUUAGCUGAGAGGUGGUGCAUGGCCGUCGUCAGUUCGUACUGUGAAGCAUCCUGUUAAGUCAGGCAACGAGCGAGACCCACGUCCACAGUUGCCAGCAUACCCUCCGGGGUGAUGGGUACACUGUGGAGACCGCCGCUGCUAAAGCGGAGGAAGGAGUGGGCAACGGUAGGUCAGUAUGCCCCGAAUCUCCCGGGCUACACGCGGGCUACAAUGGUUGGUACAAUGGGCAUCUACCCCGAAAGGGGAAGGAAAUCUCUUAAAGCCAAUCGUAGUUCGGAUUGAGGGCUGCAACUCGCCCUCAUGAAGCUGGAAUCCGUAGUAAUCGCGUUUCAACAGAACGCGGUGAAUACGUCCCUGCUCCUU